rnacentral:tRNA from 1 species
UGCGGAUGUGGCGGAAUUGGCAGACGCGCAGGAUUCAGGUUCCUGUGCCCGCAAGGGCGUGGAGGUUCGAUUCCUCUCAUCCGCAU